AGAAUGAACGCUGGCGGCAUGCCUAACACAUGCAAGUCGAACGAGACCUUCGGGUCUAGUGGCGCACGGGUGCGUAACGCGUGGGAAUCUGCCCUUGGGUUCGGAAUAACUCAGAGAAAUUUGAGCUAAUACCGGAUGAUGUCGAAAGACCAAAGAUUUAUCGCCCAGGGAUGAGCCCGCGUAGGAUUAGCUAGUUGGUGAGGUAAAAGCUCACCAAGGCGACGAUCCUUAGCUGGUCUGAGAGGAUGAUCAGCCACACUGGGACUGAGACACGGCCCCAGACUCCUACGGGAGGCAGCAGUGGGGAAUAUUGCACAAUGGGCGAAAGCCUGAUGCAGCGACGCCGCGUGAGGGAUGACGGCCUUCGGUUGUAAACCUCUUCGACAGGACGAAGCGUGAGUGACGGUACCUGUAGAAGAAGCACCGGCUAACUACGUGCCAGCAGCCGC
rnacentral:rRNA from 1 species